GUAGGUGAACCUGCGGAAGGAUCAUUAACAAAUUCUUUAAUGUGUAUUUUGUGCAUAUUAUUUGUUGUUGUUUUAUAUAUAAACACAACAAAUACAAAUACAAACCUAUAAGUCUAUAAAUAUUUAAUUAUUUAACAACUUUUAACAAUGGAUCUCUAGGCUCUU
rnacentral:misc_RNA from 1 species